CAUUGAAGCAGUCUCAAAGGGUUUGGUUUGUCAAGCGUACUCGAAAUUGUCCAUUGAAGCGGCUUCUGACUUUCUGAGCUUUCUCUCCUCCAUUGAAGCAGUCUCUAAGAUCUAUUUCACGGUACUCCUUCCUCUCUCUCUCCUCCAUUGAAGCGUACUCGAAAUUCUCCGGUGAAGGGGCUUCUGAUCUUUCUCUCCUCCAUUGAAGCAGUCUCAAAGGGUUUGGUUUGUCAAGCGUACUCGAAAUUCUCCAUUGAAGCGGCUUCUGACUUUCUGAGCUUUCUCUCCUCCAUUGAAGCAGUCUUUAAGGUUAGAUGCUUCUUUUUCUUUAAUCAUCUAAUAUUAAUUUUGACAAUCUAGUGUUAAUCGUGUAUUUAAUUGUCAGUAUAUACU